AUUUCCUCCAAGACACGGGCCACUGGUCACAACAGAGACACAGAAGCCAGAGGACACACUCCAGUGGCCCCCACCACUCACCAUCUGCGUCCCAGGCACCCUGCUCCUUCACCUGGGCUGUAGGACCCCAGGGAAGGGACAGCAGUUGGUGCUGCACCAGCAUCUCCCAGAUGAUGGAGUGGGGUCCUGGGGAGGGGACUGGUUUGCCCGAGGUCACCCAGUCAAUCGGGGAGAGCCAGCUGGAUGCUGGAUCCUUUCCGGUCCACCCAGAGCUCCUAAGGGCCACUUCUGCUGGGAGAUAAACCUGAAGUUCUGAGUCACUCUCAGUCUGGGAAGCUGGAGCUGCCUUCCAGAACAUUCCUGUGGAAGUCGCCUGCUCUGGGGAAAUGAUUUCACAGAGCACCAGAGUCAAAUGGCGUGCAAGGGCUGGGUACCCAUCCCACAAGGGGAGCCUGAGGACAGCUGCUGCGCCCAGCUCACCGCCCGCUGCCUCCACGUCUCGGCUCAUCCCAUCCAGGACACCAGGGAGCAGAACAGCACCGGGUUCCUCUCCCCGAAGCAGGUGACGGGCGAGUGCCCCUCCAGGCUCAGGACCCCGUCACCUCCCCACAGCCCAUGCUCCAAGCAAGCUCACUGAGCGUCACCAGCCUUCAUCCCAGAUGUCACAUUGGAACUGAGGUCCCAGCAGAUGCCCACCAGCCCCAGCAGCCUGUACCUCGGGAGAAACCCACAUCUCCUGCUAAACCGGAAGAGGCCACCUGCGGAGCCGGGGCCUCCACACUCUCAACUAAAAGUUGAAGACCGCUUUCCUCCCUCCGCGCUCUGCCACUGUCAGCCCCGUCAGUCGCCGAGGGCCCUGCAGCCACCAGCACCUUGUUAAGUGUCUGAAAUAGUGAGCGGCGCUUGAUGGGCUGCCUGGCCGCGGAGCCUCCGGUGCCACACUCCUCUGAAACGUAUCGAUCUGUGUCCGCAGUUCAAGGAAACUAAUCUGGAUCAUAAAAGCUGGAGAGGAGAACUAUAAAGCUCAAAGUGUGGUUUUUAGCAGGGACCGCUUUCAAGUGAGAAUUAGUCAUUGAUCUUCUCUGAUAAGUUCCAAAGAGGCGCCUUGGAUGAGAUGAUCCAAACUGGCACUGGCAGGUGAGAAGCUCGGCCCAGGGCCACUCACCCAGGACGGCAGGACUCCUCCUCCAUCCCCCGAGGCCCAGGCAGCAGCUGAGGCAUAAGGACCCUGCUGCAAAGCACAGAGACCCUAGGGCCAGGGCCUGACUGACUGCAGCACCCAGCCUGGGGCCAGGAGCCUCCAACUGGGACAGACUGCACCCACCACCAUCCCCCAAGCUCCUGUCCCUCGCUCCCUGUGCUGGGUCCAAUGGUGUCCACCCACAGUCGUGUCCACCCAGAAUCUCAGAAUGUGGCCUUGCUUGGGAACAGGGUCUUUCCAACGGAAUGAGUUAAGAGGAUGUCGUGUCGCAUUAGGACCAGCUCUGAUCCCAUGUCCUUUGCAAGAAGACAGGACAGAGACGGAGACUGCCCAGUGGCCAGGGAGAUGCAGCUCGGGGUGACGCACCCAUAGCCAAGAACUGCUGGCCGUGCAUGGCCACCAGACUCAGAGAGAGGGGAGAGGAGUCUCCCCAGGCUUCGGAGGAACCCACCUAUGACACAGGCCUCAGAGUUCUGCCAUCCAGAACCAGAACUGCGAGGGACACAUUGCUGUGGUCAUCAGCCGCCCAGGCUGUGGUCCUCUGUCCCAGCAGCCACAGGAAAAUCAUAGCACCCUCCGGCUUCCAGGGUGGCCGUGUGUCCUGCAAGAGAGGAGCAGGGCCCUCCACAGCCCAGGAGGACCGGGAGGAAAGAUGACAGAGACUCCCCUCCGUGGCCCAGGAGAGAUGGCAGGGUCCCCGCAUCCCCAAUAGAGAAAAGCAGGGUCCCUCCACCCCCAGGAGAGAUGAAGAGCGGGACCCACCCCCAGGAGAGACGAGAGAGAGCACCUCCAGGGGCCCAGGGAGACAGAGGCCCCUCCACCCCAUGGCUCUCAGAGGGGCUCGUGGGCUGCCCCCGGUGCCACAUUCCCCGCUGUCUGCCUGUCCCUCGGCCUGGUGACCGCGGGUAGCCUGGGAGUGCCUGCUCACACCUGCUCAUGUGCAAUGCUGGCGGCAUGUUGGAGAAGCAGCUGUGGACGAGACACCGUGGUCCCCCAGAGACUUCAGUCAGUAGACCUCAGGAGAGCUGAGGCCCAGGAGGCAAAGGACCUGCGGAGGGCAGGACCCCAGCCCUGCUGCUCCCUACAUGGCCCCAGCUGCCCUGGACUGGCCAUGCCUCAGUCUCUGCUCUCCUCCUGGGAGAGGGGCCUCGCGUCCCAGCCCUCAGGACGGGUCUUUGGAGGUGGAAGGUCCUGGACCAGGGUCCUGGGGUCAGCACGUCCUUGGCCUGUCUUGUGGACAGACAUUCCUUAUUCCCUCACCCGCCUCAUGGUGAAUGGAGGGCUGCCCAGACAGGGAUAGGGCCUGUCAGGGGACAUGACGCUCUCGAGGCCACCUCUUCUGGCAUAAGAGCAAAGAAAACCCCCUUCCUGUGGCGAGCCCCAAGAGCUGGGCCAGGUGGCCACAGAGAGGACCCCGAGUCCUCACAGGGGGGUCCGCUGCUCUUAGCCCUCGUUCCCGGUCAGCCAAGCACCACAGGCUGGUCCUUCCACUCAAUUGACCCUAGGCCCCUGCCUGAUUUGACAGUUUUGAUCAGACCCAGAGCCCUGCAGGCUCUGCCAGCUCUCCAGAGAGCCCUGUGCCUUCACUCCUGGGUGUGCAGGGGCAGGGGGCGCUCCGGGAAGGAGGCAUGGCCACCAGAGCCAGGCUGGACACAGGAGGACUCAGGGGUCCUGACCCUGCUGGGGAUGUGUGUCCCCCCACCCUUGUCCUCGGGACCAGAGCCCCCAGCCCCCAGCAAGGUGGCUCUCCUGGCUUCCUGCCUCCUGGACGCUGGGCUUGCUCUUCACACCUACGGCUUCCCACGCUGCGGCCCCCCGGCCUCCUCCAGCCUGGCGCCGGUGGCCCUCCUCCCACCCAGGAGGAGGCCGGUUCUGCUCCCCACUUACCUGAGCCCCAGAGCAGAGCUGGGCUGCUCCGGGAGGGAGGCCCCCUCCCCCCAUCAGCCCUCCCAGCCCCCCACCCACCUGGGGGGACACCCGUCAGAGGAACCGGCCCUGGAGAGUCAGCGCCAGCCACAGUGGGGUGUCGUCCUAGAACCAAGCUCUGGGUCCAUCGAGGUGGGCGGAAGCUUCGGCAGGGGAGCCCCUUGGAGUCCCAAGUCGCCAUCUGCUCACCUCACGUGUAACAGUCAAGGACAUCAGAGGCCAAGAGACCCGGGUUCACUCCAGGGUCUGCAGGGCCUCCGUCUCCUGUGAGAGGGACGCUGGUGUCGGGCCCCCUGGGCAGGGAGUGGUGGGCAGUCAGGCCCGUCCUCUGUGUCCCAUGAGCCUGAGAGCACUAGGCGGGUGGAGGUGUCCCCUCUCCUAAGUCUUCCUCGGGAGCCCACGAUGGUGAGGCAGAGCUCAGAGCAGCAUGGACCAGCAGGUCACCUGCACCGUCCACCCAAAGACCUGUCCACGCAAAGUUCUCUGCCCUGGGAGUCAAAGGCCUGCCUUCCCAGUGCACUCCUGAGCCCGGGAGCCAGGGCACACAGACCCCGUGGCCUUCCCAAUAGGUGGCAGUGACGAGAGCCACCCCCAGGCAGUGUCAUGCCCAGGAGCCUGGACGAAGCAGAGGGCAUCGCUGUGCCACCUGCUCCCGAUGCCGGUCCAGGUCCAGCUGGGACCUUGCCGACUCUCAGACACCCCGGGAAUCUCCAGCCCUUGGGGGAGCCCCCUGCAGAGCACCCCGCCCCCACCCCAGUGCUUCCGGCAGAAACUCCAUGAGUGAUUCGAGGGUCUUUGUAAGUGCCGUUUCAGGAGCCUUCACCCGUGUGGAUCUCUGACCAGGUUGUGGUGAAGCCGAUGCCAUUAAGCUCUUGUUAGCAGUACUAGUGCUUUAAAUAAUAGCCUGUUUUCAUGGCGAGUGGUGGAGUUUUUAAGCACCGCCGUCAUGCCAGCAUCUGAGGCUCCCCCCACACCCCCGCCAUUAGUUAUGUGGAAAGUUCGUAAUCGUCAGCUUUGGCCGCAGGACAAACAGCCCCCACCUCAGGCGCUUAUGCCAACCGACAGUUGCCCCUUC
rnacentral:lncRNA from 1 species